rnacentral:rRNA from 1 species
UGGGGAAUUUUGGACAAUGGACGCAAGUCUGAUCCAGCCAUGCCGCGUGCGGGAAGAAGGCCUUCGGGUUGUAAACCGCUUUUGUCAGGGAAGAAACGAGUUUCUCUAAUACAGAGACUUAAUGACGGUACCUGAAGAAUAAGCACCGGCUAACUACGUGCCAGCAGCCGCGGUAGUACGUAGGGUGCAAGCGUUAAUCGGAAUUACUGGGCGUAAAGCGUGCGCAGGCGGUUAUAUAAGACAGAUGUGAAAUCCCCGGGCUCAACCUGGGACCUGCAUUUGUGACUGUAUAGCUAGAGUACGGUAGAGGGGGGUGGAAUUCCGCGUGUAGCAGUGAAAUGCGUAGAUAUGCGGAGGAACACCGAUGGCGAAGGCAAUCCCCUGGGCCUGUACUGACGCUCAUGCACGAAAGCGUGGGGAGCAAACA